ensembl:lncRNA
AUGUAUGAGUCUAGAAAAUGUAAUCAAAAAAUCAACCCAAAAAACCCUGGAUCAACCUAUCCACAAGUCAGUGGGAGUACUGUAUCUCAACUCUUAUCAAAAACAGAAGCACACCCUCUUCUGAGUAGACUGAAAAGUCAAGCAGGAGAAGCACCAACUCCCUUUACUUUCUGCAUUCAGGCAUUCAAAAAAGCCACUAAUUCUGGUCUUUUUAUAUACCUGGAUGGGGAAAUGGUGGUGGCAACUAGAGGCAGCUGGCCUCCUGAAGCAACUGCCAAAUUUGUUGUCUAACAUGAUGUUUUGGUGCUUCAUUUGUAAAAUCAUAACCUAAUUUGAUGUUUAAUAGGCUUUUCCUUAAUGCCUCCUUAUUAUCCAACAUAUUUGCUUAUCUAACAUUCUGCCGGCCCCUUUAUGUUGGAUAAGUGAGACUCUACUGUAAUUACAGAAUGAAGCAGAGCAAUGUUGUAAUGCCCUAGGAAACAUAAACACCAUACAUAUUUCUUACUUGCCUCUUCAAAAAACUUCAUUGACUAUGAAAUUGUGCCAGGCAGGUUUUUAUUCUGUCUAUAAGGACAUAUAUUUAAGAAUUUGAAUAUGCCAUAACAACAGAUCAAAUUUCAUUUUUAAAAAGUUCUGUGUUCUUAAAAGAGAAAGGAUGUCUAAUACCAAAACUAAAAGAAUACUUCCCAGUUGUUAUACAUUUUAGCAGUUGAUAAACUCAGUGGGAUGAAGUUUUUAGGAAUUUCAGAAUGUGCUUGAAAUCUAGCUAGAAUAUCCUGUGCCAUACUGAUCUGCAGCCUUAUGUUUUUAUUGCUAAAGAAAAAUAGUCCUUUGGCUUAUUUUACAUGUGGCUGCAAUACAAGAAUGCUGCAAACUUCAAACUGAUUUAAAUGACACUGAGUUAUUUAGGGCAAUGACAUCUUCCAAGUGGACUGAUAAAACCUCCAAGAUGAAACAACAGUGUAAAUGAUCAGGAAACAGUCCAUGUGAGGCCAGUGAACUUUGCAUUCAUGAGAACCCAGUGAACUUUGCAUUCAUGAGAACCCGGUCUUCAUUUGAUAGAGCCAUCCAAGAAAAGAGCCGGUAAGAUAGCAGGAAGGUCAAAGUGUCUGUCCUAUGAGGAAAGAAUAGAUGGAUUUCUAGAUUAGGUGGAAAGAUGACUAAAGGCAUGCAUGGCAGAGGUUUCUAAAAUAAUUAAUGGUGUAGAAAGAGAAGGUUGAUCUCCGCUUCCCUCCUCCCAGAACAGUUUUAGUUGGAGUCAUACAAUACCUCUACACAAAAUAGGAGAGAUAAAUAAAAACACUCCUUUAUUCAAUGCAGUUAACUUCAAGCAUCAUGCUGAACUACAAAGUGUGUGCAUGACUGUUUGUAUGCAGAGCCCAGUUUUAAAUAAGUCACUACAAACAGUUACUUGUAAUUAAUCCCUUUUGCCUACCUUGAAGCUGUACCUAAAUGACACCAUAAUAUUAGGAAAUACCUUUAUGCUUUCUGCAGUAUGAUUGCAACGGUCUCAUUGCUUUUCCCAAGUAAGAUUCAUUUGCUUCAGUGGAGCUUUCAAAAAGCAUAGCCUAGAAAGCCUGCAGUGGAUGGAGGAAUAAUGUUUUGUCCAUUGCAAUUGCACAAAACGAAUGUUAUUCUUUCCUUUGGGGCAAUAAUAUUCCUGCAACAGAUAAUGUCCUGCUUGUGGGAUAACUGUAUAAUUGAACCAUUAUUUGAUGUAUACAUUUUGUCAUUAAAAUGUGUUAAUUUCAUAAAACAGAGGCAGUCAAGUUGUUUCAUAAUUUCAGAAUCAAUUUUCAGUGAAAAAGGCUAUUAGACACGAAGGUACAUAAUUGCACUCUACUUUAAGUGCAAGCUUCAAAUUAUGGAGACUACGUAGCUGCAGAAAGAACUAGGCAACUGCUGCUUCUUUUCGUGAUACUACUAUAAUUUUUAAAGCUUAGGAACAAAUGAACACACACACACACCUAACUGCUUGCUAGCACUCAAAUGCCAAGCACUGCAAACGUUACUCAACCGUGUAGCCAGAAUCACAUUUAUUUGUUCUCUUA